rnacentral:rRNA from 1 species
GGGAGCAAACAGGAUUAGAUACCCUGGUAGUCCACGCCCUAAACGAUGGGUACUAAGUGUGGAGGGGUUAAACCCUCCGUGCCGCAGCAAACGCAGUAAGUACCCCGCCUGGGGAGUACGGCCGCAAGGUUGAAACUCAAAGGAAUUGACGGGGGCCCGCACAAGCGGUGGUGCAUGUGGUUUAAUUCGACGCAACGCGAGGAACCUUACCUAGGCUUGACAUGUGGUGAGUAGCGAACCGAAAGGGGAGCGACCCGUCAAAUCGGGCCAUCACACAGGUGCUGCAUGGCUGUUGUCAGCUCGUGCCGUGAGGUGUUGGGUUCAGUCCCGCAACGAGCGCAACCCUCGCCCUUUGUUGCCGUCGGGUAAAGCCGGGCACUCUAAGGGGACUGCCAGCGACAAGUUGGAGGAAGGAGAGGAUGACGUCAAGUCAUCAUGGCCUUUAUGCCUAGGGCCACACACGUGCAACAAUGGCCGGUACAGACGGAGGCAAUGCCGAGAGGCGGAGCAAACCCGAGAAAACCGGUCCCAGUUCGGAUUGAGGUCUGCAACUCGACCUCAUGAAGUCGGAAUCGCUAGUAAUCGCAUAUCAGAACGAUGCGGUGAAUACGUUCCCGGGCCUUGUACACACCGCCCGUCACACCACGAAAGUUUGUUGUACCCGAAGUCGGUGCCUUAACCUCGCAAGAGGAGAGAGCCGCCCAAGGUGUGGCCGAUGAUUGGGGUGAAGUCGUAACAAGGUAACCGUA